UAUGACAAACGUCUAAUAACAUAACCUAAAAAAAUAAAUUUAUAACAAAUUUUAGUAAAAUUAAUUAAUCUAUCAAAUUGAGGAAAAUCACUUGUUUAAAUAGUAACAACAUAACCACAAAAAAAAAUAAAUUAAUAAUGAGUUAUGAGAUAAAGAAGUCCACGGUACGGGAUUCAAGGAUUAUCAGGAACGGGAACCACAAUGAUGUUUCUUCACCAGGGUUGUAGGAUAAUGAAGUCCAUGAUAUCUGAUCAUUUUCUUCUACAUUUAAGGGCAAAAUUCCAAAAAUCUGGAGGUUAUGAAUUUUCGUCUAAAAUUUCAUUAAUUCACACAAAGGAUGGCUGUUUUUUAUUCUUACUAUGUUUAGAUCAUCAUUUUUAAUAGCUUUAACUGGAUGAAUAAGGAUUUGAAUAAGAAAUUGAGAAAAAAAUCAAAUUGAGGUUAUGUAUCUGUCAAGGGGGCUUUUAAAAUACUUCGUAUGGACUUUACAUGGGUUAUAUACAAUAAAAAACACCAACGGCCAAUAAUACAUAACUGAAUUCGUCAGUAAAUAAUGUUUUAUAUUAUAAAAUGAAAUUACAAGUGAAAUUUAGCUCUCGGAAGUUCCAAGAGGUCUCUCGGAAGACUAUUUCUACUUUUGUUAUUGUAAAUCCAUCUCAAUUUAAUGCAAAACGAUAUCGAGGUGCUAAUUAAACCUCAAAAUUGAAAUGUCAAAGUUGA
rnacentral:lncRNA from 1 species